AUGAACGCUGGCGGCGUGCCUAAUACAUGCCAGUCGAGCGAACAGAUGAGGAGCUUGCUCCUCUGACGUUAGCGGCGGACGGGUGAGUAACACGUGGAUAACCUACCUAUAAGACUGGGAUAACUUCGGGAAACCGGAGCUAAUACCGGAUAAUAUAUUGAACCGCAUGGUUCAAUAGUGAAAGACGGUUUUGCUGUCACUUAUAGAUGGAUCCGCGCCGCAUUAGCUAGUUGGUAAGGUAACGGCUUACCAAGGCAACGAUGCGUAGCCGACCUGAGAGGGUGAUCGGCCACACUGGAACUGAGGCACGGUCCAGACUCCUACGGGAGGCAGCAGUAGGGAAUCUUCCGCAAUGGGCGAAAGCCUGACGGAGCAACGCCGCGUGAGUGAUGAAGGUCUUCGGAUCGUAAAACUCUGUUAUUAGGGAAGAACAAAUGUGUAAGUAACUAUGCACGUCUUGACGGUACCUAAUCAGAAAGCCACGGCUAACUACGUG
rnacentral:rRNA from 1 species